rnacentral:rRNA from 1 species
AUUGAACGCUGGCGGCAGGCCUAACACAUGCAAGUCGAGCGGAUGAAGGGAGCUUGCUCCUGGAUUCAGCGGCGGACGGGUGAGUAAUGCCUAGGAAUCUGCCUGGUAGUGGGGGAUAACGUCCGGAAACGGGCGCUAAUACCGCAUACGUCCUGAGGGAGUAAGUGUGGGAUCUUCGGACCUCACGCUAUCAGAUGAGCCUAGGUCGGAUUAGCUAGUUGGUGGGGUAAAGGCCUACCAAGGCGACGAUCCGUAACUGGUCUGAGAGGAUGAUCAGUCACACUGGAACUGAGACACGGUCCAGACUCCUACGGGAGGCAGCAGUGGGGAAUAUUGGACAAUGGGCGAAAGCCUGAUCCAGCCAUGCCGCGUGUGUGAAGAAGGUCUUCGGAUUGUAAAGCACUUUAAGUUGGGAGGAAGGGCAGUAAGUUAAUACCUUGCUGUUUUGACGUUACCAACAGAAUAAGCACCGGCUAACUUCGUG